UGCGUAGGCGGAAUGAUAAGUCAGUGGUGAAAGCCCCCGGCUCAACCGGGGAACUGCCAUUAAUACUGUCAUUCUUGAGUAUAGUUGAAGUGGGCGGAAUGUAUCAUGUAGCGGUGAAAUGCUUAGAUAUGAUACAGAACACCGAUAGCGUAGGCAGCUUGCUAAACUAUAACUGACGCUCAGGCACGAAAGCGUGGGGAGCAAACAGGAUUAGAUACCCUGGUAGUCC
rnacentral:rRNA from 1 species